rnacentral:rRNA from 1 species
AUUGAACGCUGGCGGCAGGCUUAACACAUGCAAGUCGAACGAGUGGCGGACGGGUGAGUAAUGUUUGGGAAACUGCCUUAUGGAGGGGGAUAACUACGGGAAACGGUAGCUAAUACCGCAUACCAUCGGAUGUGCCCAGAUGGGAUUAGCUAGUAGGUGGGGUAAAGGCUCACCUAGGGGACGAUCCCUAGCUGGUCUGAGAGGAUGACCAGCCACACUGGGACUGAGACACGGUCCAGACUCCUACGGGAGGCAGCAGUGGGGAAUAUUGCGCAAGGGGCGCAAGCCUGAUGCAGCCAUGCCGCGUGUAUGAAGAAGGCCUUCGGGUUGUAAAGUACUUUCAGCGGGGAGGCGUUACCCGCAGAAGAAGCACCGGCUAACUCCGUGCCAGCAGCCGCGGUAAUUC